CCGGUAAACGGCGGCCGUAACUAUAACGGUCCUAAGGUAGCGAAAUUCCUUGUCGGGUAAGUUCCGACCUGCACGAAUGGCGUAAUGAUGGCCAGGCUGUCUCCACCCGAGACUCAGUGAAAUUGAACUCGCUGUGAAGAUGCAGUGUACCCGCGGCAAGACGGAAAGACCCCGUGAACCUUUACUAUAGCUUGACACUGAACAUUGAGCCUUGAUGUGUAGGAUAGGUGGGAGGCUUAGAAGUGUGGACGCCAGUCUGCAUGGAGCCGACCUUGAAAUACCACCCUUUAAUGUUUGAUGUUCUAACGUUGACCCGUAAUCCGGGUUGCGGACAGUGUCUGGUGGGUAGUUUGACUGGGGCGGUCUCCUCCUAAAGAGUAACGGAGGAGCACGAAGGUUGGCUAAUCCUGGUCGGACAUCAGGAGGUUAGUGCAAUGGCAUAAGCCAGCUUGACUGCGAGCGUGACGGCGCGAGCAGGUGCGAAAGCAGGUCAUAGUGAUCCGGUGGUUCUGAAUGGAAGGGCCAUCGCUCAACGGAUAAAAGGUACUCCGGGGAUAACAGGCUGAUACCGCCCAAGAGUUCAUAUCGACGGCGGUGUUUGGCACCUCGAUGUCGGCUCAUCACAUCCUGGGGCUGAAGUAGGUCCCAAGGGUAUGGCUGUUCGCCAUUUAAAGUGGUACGCGAGCUGGGUUUAGAACGUCGUGAGACAGUUCGGUCCCUAUCUGCCGUGGGCGCUGGAGAACUGAGGGGGGCUGCUCCUAGUACGAGAGGACCGGAGUGGACGCAUCACUGGUGUUCGGGUUGUCAUGCCAAUGGCACUGCCCGGUAGCUAAAUGCGGAAGAGAUAAGUGCUGAAAGCAUCUAAGCACGAAACUUGCCCCGAGAUGAGUUCUCCCUGACCCUUUAAGGGUCCUGAAGGAACGUUGAAGACGACGACGUUGAUAGGCCGGGUGUGUAAGCGCAGCGAUGCGUUGAGCUAACCGGUACUAAUGAACCGUGAGGCUUAACCUU
rnacentral:rRNA from 1 species